rnacentral:rRNA from 1 species
UUACCAGGUUGACAUACAAGUAGUAGGGAAGGGAAACUGGACGACCUUCGGGAGCUUGUACAGGUGCUGCAUGGCUGUCGUCGGCUCGUGUCGUGAGAUGUCCGGUUAAGUCCGCUAACGAGCGCAACCCUCGCUGUGUGUUACAAGUGUCACACGGAACUGCCGGUCAUAAACCGGAGGAAGGUGGGGAUGACGUCAAGUCAGCAUGGCCUUUAUAUCCUGGGCUACACACACGCUACAAUGGGAAGGGACAAUAGGUUGCGAAGCCGCGAGGCGGAGCCAAUCCAGCAAAACUUCCCUCAGUUCAGAUUGCAGGCUGCAACUCGCCUGCAUGAAGUUGGAGUUGCUAGUAAACGCAGGUCAGCCAUACUGCGUUGAAUACGUUCCCGGGGCUU